rnacentral:lncRNA from 1 species
CUUUCAGUCUUUAAUUUGUGCUGGUAUGGGUGUUAUCAAGGUCUGCCUGGCACCUGAGUGCUUACUUCCACUUCACAGACCUUUCCUGCAAUCUCUUGGGGGGACUGGAAACUGGAGAUGGCAAAGGAGGAUGCUGGCAGUGGGCCCUGUAAAUUGUAGCUGGUCCUGGGGGCCAGUUCGGGCAAAAUGCAGCCGAGAACUCCGCUCGUCCUGUGCGUUCUCCUGUCCCAGGU